rnacentral:lncRNA from 1 species
UGUGGAAAGCCUCGUUAUAAAGAUACGAGUGAAAGAGUUCCAGUGCCAUAUAAAAGGAUGUGGUAUUUACCUUUGACGGAAAGGUUGCAGAGGUUGUAUCUGUCUGAACGCACAGCGCAACCAAUGAGAUGGCAUGCGGAGCACUCAACAGAUGGUGAGAUCAGACAUCCUUCAGAUGCAAAAGCGUGGAAGCAUUUCCAAUCAAAGUAUCCCGACUUUGCGUAUGAGAGAAGAAAUGUCUACCUUGGAUUAUGUACUGAUGGUUUCAGUCCGUUUGGCAAGAGUGGAAGACAGUAUUCUCUAUGGCCCGUCAUUCUUACACCAUACAACCUACCCCCAAACUUGUGCUUGCGACGAGAGUUUUUGUUUCUCUCGAUUCUCGUUCCCGGACCAGAGCAUCCUAAGAGAUCACUUGACGUGUUUCUUCAGCCACUAAUAUAUGAGUUGCAACAACUAUGGGCUCAAGGUGUUGAAACAUACGAUGUUUCGUGUAAAGAAAACUUUCAAAUGCGGGCAGUACUAAUGUGGACAAUAAGUGAUUUUCCAGCAUAUGGUAUGUUGUCCGGAUGGACAACGCAUGGAAGGCUAUCAUGUCCAUAUUGUCAAGAUAACACUGAUGUUUUCCAACUAAAACACGGAAGGAACACGUGUUGGUUUGACUGUCACAGGAGAUUCCUACCACCUGAUCAUCCAUAUCGUAGGAGUAGGAAUUUGUUUACGAAGAACAAGAGGGUGUUUGACAGUCCACCUCCGGAAAUUUGUGGGAAAGAUGCAUUUGGUGUUACAUCAGUAAAUUCGAGGACAUUCCGAGGAACGCUUGAGAUUCUCGAUCGAUCGAUGGGAUAAUCUAAUCGAUCGAUCACAUUGUUACGCUUUGGUCCAUCUUAGUGAUCGAUCGAUGCGUUUUUGGAUAUAUAUACAUCGAUCGAUCCGUUUAUAAAAAAACGUACGAGAUUUUCCGAGGACAUUCUGAGGAACGCUUGAGAUUCUCGAUCGAUCGAUGGGAUAAUUUAAUCGAUCGAUCACAUUGUUACGCUUUGGUCCAUCUUAGUGAUCGAUCGAUGCGUUUAUGGAUAUAUAUACAUCGAUCGAUCCGUUUAUAAAAAAACGUACGAGAUUUUGUUCUCGAUCGAUCACAUUGUUACCCCAAACCCUGUUUCUUCGGAAAAGCCUCAGAAUAUUCCAAGGAAAUUCCGAGGAACACCUGAUAUACUCUAUCGAUCGAUGCGUUUUGGUACAUAUAUCCAUCGAUCGAUCCGUUUAAAAAAAAAUUGACGUAUUGAAACUCCAAACACUAGUUCCUCGGAAUUUCCUCGGAAUUUCCUCGGAAUAUUCCGACGGAAUUCCGAGGAAGAAAAGGGUUUCCUCGGAAUUCCCUCGGAAUAAUCCGAGAAAAUUCCGAGGAAAUAGGGUUUUUAAACCGAAAACAACGUUUUGCGGUUUGAAUAACACCUAUAUAACCCUUAUUAAGUGUCUUACGUUCAUUAUGAAGUCAAAAUUUUUUUCCUUACCGGGAACGGGAUCAGCGCAUGGAUCAACCGUAUGAUGUACUCGGCCCUCGACAAGGGACAUCCGACUUUCACUCACAUCCCUACCGACAAGCAGGUUCUGUGAUUUCGUCAGUUUGCGGUAAGUAUUCUAAUUUUUUACUUAUAUUUUUAAUCUUUAAUAUAAAUUUUCUACUAAUUGUGUUUUUUUUUCAGCAAGAGUUCAACUGGAAUUCCGAUGAGACGCUCUUUAUCUAUCACCACUUCGUCCAUAAAGUUAUGGACAACUAUGGGAAGCAGAUCCACGAGUGGAAGAAGAAGUGGGAAAUCAAUAAGGUUCGAUUUAAUUUAUUAAACAAAUUUUUAAUUUAUUAAACUAUUUUUUAAUUUAUUAAACUAUAUUUUUUUUUUAUUAAAAGGUCCCAAAGUCGAUGAACGACACGGUCUGGAAGGAGUUGUGUACGCAUUGGGAUAAGGAAGAGACAAAAGAAACUUCUUCCACCAACUCCACCAACCGCAGGAGCGACCGUAAAGGGAAGGGCAUCUACAAGCAUAACUUGGGUGCUCAAUCUAUUGCCACUCUGGGAGAUCGCAUGGUAAGUUCAACCGCUUUUUCUUCAAUUAUUUUAGUUUCAGAAUUUUAAUUUAUUGUGCAUUUCUUCUAAUUUCUAAUGUUUCUUUAAUUUAUGUUUUUUUUCAAGGCGGAAGAAAAUGAUGGCUAGCCGGUUGAUGAUCUCGCCCUAAUGAGGAGGGCGUAUACCAACAAGAAGACCGGCCAGAUUGAUGACGGUCUUGUGAGGGACGUGGUCGACCUGGUCUAAACUCAGGUGGUAGACGAAGUGUCUCAGCUUCAAACCGAGGAUGACGCUUCGACGGCUUCGACCAACUUGUCCCAGUUUCGAAUCAACGAAAUCGUUGAAUCCGUAAGUUCUUUUUUUUAAAAAGUUCAAUUCAUUUAUUCUUGGUUUAAAUUUGUAAAUUUGGCUAUUUUCUAUUCAGUCGGUUCCAAAGAAGAAGGGACGUUUGGUCGGUUUGGGUCGGCGCACCCGGUCGGUUCCUCCUUCUUCUGCACCACCGCCCUUUGUUGAUCCAGAAGUACUUACGGCUCAGUUGAAGGACAAGGAUGAUCGCAUAUCUUUGUUGGAGACCCAGAUGGCGACUCAACAGGCGGGCUAUGAGGCACAGAGGAGGCUGAACCAGCAAAUGAUGGAGAUGAUGCAGAGGAUGUACCCGAACGAGGUGUUCCCGGACGUGCCAGACCCGUAGUUUUUUUUUUUCCAAAAACUCGGAAUGUUUUAUUUUUAUUUGUGAAACUUUGAAUAUUAAUUAAUAUGAUUUCAAUUUUAAUUUUAAUUUUAUAUUUUCGAAUUUAAAUUUCAAAAAUUUUAUUUUUUAAAAAAAAUUAAUAUUUUUUACAUUCCGAGGAAAUUAAUUAUAUUUUUUACUCGAUCGAUCGAUGCGUUUUUGGACAUAUAUCCAUCAAUCGAUCUGUUUAUAAAAAAACGUUCGGAAUAUACCGAGGGACAUCUUCCUCGGAAUAUACCGAGGGACACCUUUCUUCGGAAUAUACCGAGGGACAUGUUCCUCGGAAUAUUCCGAGGAAGAUGUCCCUCGGUAUAUUCCGAACGUUUAUUUAUAAACGGAUCGAUCGAUGGAUAUAUGUCCAAAAACGCAUCGAUCGAUGAACUUCCGAGGAAAUAUCCCGACGAAGUUCUCCCUCGGUAUAUUCCGAGGAGAUUUUCGACAAACUAGUGAUCCUCGGAAUUUCCUCGGAAAUUUGUUUCCUCGGAAUUCCGUCGGAAAAUUCCGAGGGAUUUCCGAGGAAAGAAGAAAUUCCGAGGAAUUAUUUCCGAGGACUUGUUUCGUCGGUAUGUCGUCGGAAUAACGUUAUUCCGACGAAAUUCCGACGAUUUUUUCCCUCAGUAUCCUUGCUGUUUUCUUGUAGUGCAAGAAAGCUAAUAGAUAUUAGCAAGUAAGAAGACAUAAGUACUUGAUGGCCAAGCAAAAGCCUAGAAUUGGAAUAUCACGACAUUCAAGCAAAAGGAGAAGACAUAUUCCAACAGAGCCAGAGCCAUGUUCAAGAUGAGACAAACAAAUGUGGGUCUAUAAGGGGACAUAAAGCAAAAACUCAAUAAAAAGUUAGGCUAGUGCCUAUAUCAGCUGGACACAUGGGAGAACCAGGUCCAUGCUAUAUAACAAUAUUAUCAAAAGCAGUGUUUUCAUAUAAGUAGGAGUAACUUUCUUCCCUAGUCCACUCUGUGGUCUAAAUAACCACCAGAGGCACUACACAGGAUACAAACAAAAGUUGAAAACACACACAGAAUCUAUGUAUAGAGAGUGACAAAGAAAAGGAUAAGAAGGUACUUCCAUUGAAAGUACGGAGUGUCUGAUAUAUAUUGAAUGUAUAACUAUUGUAAUUAUCAGUCAACAAAGUCCUCACAAAGUCAAGCCUUUCCAUAGAGUCUUUUUUCGGUAGACUCUUGUUAGCAAUGGAUGAAUCUUCCAAGUGCCCUGGCGCAAUAUGUUUCGAGAUCGCUUGCCAAACCCAACACUCCAGCUGAUCCACCAUGACUCUCUCCAUCCUCCACUCUACAACCCUACAACCCGCUCGACACCGUCUCCGACGUUCUCAACGCCGCUUUCUUCCGUUAAAUCUCCCGUUCCCGUCUUUACCCAACCAAAAGCAAUCUCAAGUGCUGUCCAAUCUCAAACGGAGGCGAAUACUUCAUGAGUAUCUCAAUCGGUACUCGACCAACAGCCUUCAGAUCGUCAAAUAACAUAAGAGAGUUAGACGACGCUUGGAUUAAGCCGCUUCUAUCAUGUUCUAUGCUUGGACUCAGACAGAGUAUAUGACGACUAUUUCUUAUCAAUACAUAUAGGCCCAAACAAUUUAAACUCAACAACUGAGCCCAAUAAAAAACUUCGAAUAAAUGAAACGAUGAGUUUCAUAAUACUGGGACACGUGGCACAAUGAUGUAAAGUGACUUUCCUAACUGGAAUCCUAUGUGUCACAAUGAGGAGGGAGUAAAACACUUAUUUAUAUAAUUAGAUAACUAUGUAUAUAACACAUAAUCGGUUGAAUCGAAUGUUUUGGUUCAGAUCUCAGUACAUAACCAAACCGACCCGGUGUCCGAAGUGCUUAGAGCUAAAAACCCAUUCGGUAUUUGCCUGGUCCCGUUACCGAACCGGACCCAUUAUUUUGGUUCGGUUUAAGGUGUGGACUCCGGUUUAAGUUAAAACCCCCAGCCCUAGGGUAAAUGAUAAAACAUUUGGUUGUGUAUCUCCUCGGUGGUAUGGAAAACGUAAUAGAAUCCGAACUUACUAGACCGGUACGCGAUUUAUUUUUCGUCUUACGUCGUAAGAUGUCGAAUAAGGAAAAAGCAACGUCAUUAUACAUGUUAAUCCGGUUAUCUUUGAUCCUUUUCGAGGACAUUUCGGUUUACCUUUUUGUUUGUUCAAUACGCCACUCCGGUUUAAAAAAAAAAAUCGGGAAGAGUUAGGAAAAAAGGAAAAUCUCAUCUCACCCCCUCGACGACAAGACAACCACCACCCUUAGGGUUAAAAAGGUUUAUUUAUCUGAUUAUUAUUCUCUCUACUCGUUCGUUCUCCCUUUAAUUCCGAUUUCGAUUUCGAUUUGUCUUCUCCGAUUUGCUCUCUAGACACUCACAGUAGGGUUUCUAAUUCGGAUCUGUACACCUUUUGCCAUGGAUGCUCGUAAGAGAGGACGGCCUGAAGCUGGCUCAUUCAACUCCAAUGGCGGUGGAUUCAAGAAGUCGAAGCAAGGUUAGCUCUUUCGCCUCGUCCUCUUACUUUUCUAUCUCAAAAGAGUGUUAUAGUUCUGUUGUGCUUCACUUGCUCUGUUAAAGGUUGAAACUUUAGAUCUUUAUUGCUUGAUGGAUAGUUUCUCUGUGUCAAUUGGAUUUGGGGUAGCGAUGAUUUCUUCAAUUCGAGCUUCGUAAUAUUUUUUGCUCAACAAAAGUUUUUGUUUUUAGUUAUGAGAUUCUCUAGGAUUCAAGUUUGGAUCUUUCUUUCGUGCUCACUUGCUGCAGUCUUUGAUCUGAUGCAAAUCUAAAGUCAAUUAAUUUUUCAGUUUAAUUGUGGAUGAGCUUUUGAUAAGUGAUGUUAAAGUUAGUUUGAGUGCUGUUCGUAGCAAGCUUAUUGUUAUUUGACUUUCUCUUGAGUUUCAUUAUUGCUUUAGUUUAAUCCCUUUUGCAUUAGCUAGUAACAUCUUAUCACCAUGCCCAAAGCUUGAGUUUGCUGUGAUUGAAUUAGCCUUUUUAUGUGUUAGUUAUUCAUGUGUCUAGUUGUUGGUAAAUAAUCCUGAAAAUUCUAGAGAAUAUAUCUUGCAGCUUUGAUUUAUGUGUGAAGUUACAUAUAGAUGAAUUUGAUAUGUAUGAUUCUAAAAGCAAAUAUUAUUGAACAUCAGCAAAGUCUUAACUAAAGAAAAACACUUAAUCUUUGGAACAGAGAUGGAAUCUGGUUUAGGAAGCAAAUCGAAGCCAUGCACAAAAUUUUUCAGGUUAUAAUCCUUUUCUUAACUAAAUUAAUAUUUAAAAUUGUUAUUUAUAGUCUGAGCUUUAAAUUGACAAGUAAAAAUGUAUGCUAAUGAAGUAGUUAGUUGUUAUUACAGGUAUGCAUCAUCCUUCAUGCUAAACAAGUUAAAAAAAAGUUUCAGUAUAACAAAUAUGAUAUUCACUAGGAACGGAAAAACAAAUCUGGAUUAUAAAUUUAGAAAUAUUAAGCUCAACUGGUGAUUAUAGCUUAGAAAAUCAAUCCACACCUUUUGUUUGAGCUGUGGCAGUAGUUAAGAUAUGUGUUGUAAUUCUCUGUUUGGUGGUAAGAUAUUAGUUAUUGUGUUUGUAUCAUCAUGGUCAUAUAGUGUCUAGUAAGGUUGUUGCAUUACUGAAUACUGGUGAACAUGUCCGUCAUAGACAAGCAGUUAGCAUAGUUGCUAUGUGCCAAUUCUUCUGUGUUUCAACUGUUUGUUCUCUUGUGUCUUCUCAAUGCCAAUGGUUUUUAACUUUCUGACGUAUUUGUUAUCCUUCUUUUGCAGCACUUCUGGCUGUCCUUUUGGUGAGAACUGCCAUUUCUUGCACUUUGUUCCCGGAGGAUACAAUCCUAUGGCACAGAUGACAAACAUGGGAUCACCCAUGUCUCAAGUUUCCAGAAACAUGCAAGGUGGUGGUGGUGGUGGGGGCCGAUUUUCGGGGAGAGGAGAGUCUGGACCUGGCCACGUCUCUAGCUUUGGUGCCUCAGCCACAGCCAAAAUCAGUGUGGAUGCUUCCUUGGCAGGCGCAAUCAUUGGAAAAGGUGGAGUCUGUUCGAAACAGAUAUGUCGUCAAACAGGAGCAAAGCUAUCGAUCCAAGACCACGAGAGAGAUCCCAACCUGAAGAACAUUGAGCUUGAAGGAACAUUCGAGCAGAUCAACGAAGCGAGCGCAAUGGUUAGAGAGCUGAUUGGGAGGCUUAAUUCUGCAUCUAGGAGACCACCUGGUGGUGGUGGCGGUGGACUUGGUUCAGAAGGGAAACCGCAUCCAGGGAGCAACUUCAAAACGAAGAUGUGUGAGAGAUUCUCGAAAGGAAGCUGUACAUUUGGUGAUAGAUGUCACUUUGCACACGGGGAAGCAGAGCUACGCAGGUCAUGAAUUGCGCCUAGAGUUGCUGGUGGAGUUAGAGAGUUUGCUGGCGAAACAAGUCUCUUUCAUUUGUUGUGGUGAUUCCUAAUAUCAUCUUCUCCUACUUGUUUUUAGUUGUCUUUGUUUUUUGAGACUACAAUGUUUAGUUUUCAUUGUCAGUGUAAGUUUUCCCCAUUUGGUGUUUUUUUAGAAUCUAGUUUGAAUUUGAGAUGGGGGGAUGCUUGAUGAAUGAUUGACAAAACAGUGGUUAGGAUUUGUAUGCUGUUUCUACUUAAUAUUUCAUGUUUUCUCUGCUUUAUUUUGGUCAGUAAGUUCAUGUGUUUCUCUGACAUGUGUGUGAUUAUCAGCUUUGAUUAUUUUCCGAGUAUGUAGAUGUUAUAGUUCUCUUAUGAUAGACAAUAUAACUAAAAAUUCAUGUUAAUAAUAGCCGUCGCUGAUAGUAACAGCUGAAUAAAUGAAAUGAAAUCAUGGUAGGUGAUGAUCUUAAAAAAAAUGUUGAAAAUAAUGUGCGUUGUUACAAUAGCAUCUCCUAACCACUUUUAUAUAUGUCUCUAUAAUAGCAUUUAGAUUUAGAAGUAAAAUCACUGCAAUCCUACUUUAUUUCUUCCUCUAAAAUAAAAAUUGUUAUUUUCACGGAAAUACAUUCCUUUAUAAUAAAAACAUACUUUUUUAUUCACAAAAUAAUCUUUUAAUUUUUUAUUUUAACAAUUAUAACCAAAAUAAAUAUUUUUUAAUGAAAAUGUACUGUUUAUAUAAAUAUAUAAUCAUACUUUUUAUUUACAUAAUAGUUUCUAUAAAAAUAUUCAGUAUAAAUAAUAUCAUAGUUUUAUGAAUGUUACACUAAAUUGGAUUGGUUUUCAACUUUCACAAAUAAAAAGUACUAUUUAUAAAAUUAGAAAAAAAUAUAUCAAGACUAUUCUUUUUUAGAGGAAGAAAUAGAAGAAUACAUUGGAAACAAAUCUAUCUCUAUUAUAUAGUUUUCCUAUUUUAGAAAAAAAAAAUAGAGAAAUACAUUGGAGAUGGUUUAAGCGGUAGUAACACAAAGAAAAACUCUAAAUAUCUUAAGAGCAUCUCUAAUGUACACUUCUGUAAUUUCUUCUAAAAUAGAGAUCUCUAUUAUAGAGGUGAAAAUGCUCCAAUGUAUGCCUCUAUAAUAGAAUUCAUCUAUUUUAAAAGAAAAUAUAGAGAAAAAUUACUUUUUGCUUUUAUAUUUAAAGGUGGAAAUAAAAUAUCUCUAUAUAAAUAAAUAAACUCUAUUAUACAUGUAUACAUUGGAGCAUUUUCACUUUUAUAAUAGAGUUUUUUUAUUUUAAGAAAAAAUAUAGAGAUAGAAAUAGAAAUAGAAAUAGAGAUGAGUUGGAGAUUAGAAAUAGAGAUGAGUUUGAGAUGUUGUUACGUAAGAAAGAGCUAGAGCUUUAAUAAAGUACUUAAAUUAAUUACUAGUCGGCAGUCGCUGCCUACUUGUUUACCACCUAAAUUAAUUUAUUAUAAUAUAUAUUACGAAUCUCCAAAGUACACAUCACACACACUCUACUCACGUGAUCUCAACCACAAUGUCUGCAGAUAUUUUUUAUAGUUUUUUCUCACAUGGGAGAGAAGAAGCCAAGCACGAUCCUCCAUCCUCAACUUUAUAGCAUUUUUUUCUUUUCUUUCCGGCUACCACUUGUGAGUCGAGUCGGCAAGGGCGUUUCCUUAUAUUAAAGUAAAGACAUCAAAUACCAUCGUCUUAAUGCUAAUUAACGUAAUUGAUGAGUUCUAUAACAUAAUCCAAACUAGUCUUUGUGAACAUUAGGAUUGGGUAAACCAAUAUUUACAUUUUAAAAACAAAAUACAAAAAGAAACGUGAUAAACUUUAUAAAAGCAAUUAUAUGAUCACUGCAUCUUUUCCACUUUUCCGUAAAUAAAUACAUAAAAGUGCCGUAAAUAUCAGAUAUUUGGAGUAGAAAAGUAAUAAAGAAAAGAAAUAUGAGGAGAGGGAAUAAUGGAGGGGGCCCACUUGUAAAAAAGAAAGAAAAGAGAUGUCACUCAAUCGUCUCCCACGGGCCCCCGUCAAUUUAAACGGCCUGCCUUCUGCCCAAUCGCAUCUUAUCAGAACCAGACAGAUUCAUUACCAAAGAGAUAGAGAAAGAGAGAGAGAGAGAGAGAGAGAGAGAGUGAGUUUGAGGAGGAGCUUCUUCGUAGGGUUCAUCGUUAUUAACGUUAAAUCUUCACCCCCUACGUCAGCCAGCUCAAGGUCCCUUUCUUCUUCCAUUUCUUUUCAUUCUACGUUGUUUUCAAUCUUAUGAAACUUUCUGGUCUGUGCUUUUCUUAUCGCUUUUCUAUUCUAUCUAUCAUUUUUGCAUUUCAGUCGAUUUAAUUCUAGAUCUGUUAAUAUUAAACUAUAGAUCUGUUCUUGAUUCUCUGUUUUCAUGUGUGAAAUCUGAUGCUGUAUUAAUCUGAUUAUAUUGUCUAUACCGUGGAGAAUAUCAAAUGUUGCAUUUUCAUUUGUCCGAAUACAAAGUGUUUGACUUUCAAUCGUUUUUAAUUAUAUAUAUAUAUAUAUUUUUUGAUGGGUUGGUGGAGUUGAAAAAUCACCAUAGCAGUCUCACGUCCUGGUUUUAGAAAUAUCCUAUUCAAAAUUAUAUAUUUGUUUACUUGUUUUAGAUCUGGACCUGAGACAUAUAAGUACCUAUUUGUUGAAUCUUUGGGUAAAAACUUAUGUCUCUGGGUAAAAUUUGCUGGGAGAUUUGACCGAUUCCUAUUGGCUCUUGAUUCUGUAGUUACGUAAUACAUGAAAAAGUUUCAUUUGGCCUAUGCUCACUUCAUGCUUAUAAACGUUUUCUUGCAAAUUAAUUGGAUUAGAUGUUAUUUCAUAGAUUCAGUCAUUCAGAUACAAUGGAGUUGCAUGAAGAAAAUAAUAGAAUUCGUGACAGUAAAAAAGAUUGUAUUUUUGUUUGUUUGUUUAUGUUUAAAAGUCUAUAUGUUGACAAUAGAGUUGCUCUCAACUGUUUCAUUUAGCUUCUUUUUUUGUCAAGUUGCUUAUUCUUAGAGACAUUGUGAUUAUGACUUGUCUUCUUUAACGUAGUUUAGUAAUAAAAGACGAAAGAAAUUGAUAUCCACAAGAAAGAGAUGUGAGCUGUAGCGUAUCAAAUCUCGUUCAUUUACUAGUAGUAUUCUCAACGCUAUCGUUUAUUUAUUUUUCUUUCGUUGGUUUGCCACUAUAUGCCACUUCUCUCCUCUUUGUCCCACGUACUAUCCAUUUUUUUUGUGGUAGUCCAUUUUCUUGUAACUUAUAAUAACGUAACUCUGAAUCUUUUGUCUGUAGAUUAAUUUGUUGGUUUAAUUAACUUUUAAGUCUUUGCUUUUGGCUUAUGCAGAAACAUGGGUGCAGGUGGAAGAAUGCAAGUGUCUCCUCCCUCCAAGAAGUCUGAAACCGACACCAUCAAGCGCGUACCCUGCGAGACACCGCCCUUCACUGUCGGAGAACUCAAGAAAGCAAUCCCACCGCACUGUUUCAAACGCUCGAUCCCUCGCUCUUUCUCCUACCUCAUCUGGGACAUCAUCAUAGCCUCCUGCUUCUACUACGUCGCCACCACUUACUUCCCUCUCCUCCCUCACCCUCUCUCCUACUUCGCCUGGCCUCUCUACUGGGCCUGCCAGGGCUGCGUCCUAACCGGCGUCUGGGUCAUAGCCCACGAGUGCGGCCACCACGCCUUCAGCGACUACCAGUGGCUGGACGACACCGUCGGCCUCAUCUUCCACUCCUUCCUCCUCGUCCCUUACUUCUCCUGGAAGUACAGUCAUCGACGCCACCAUUCCAACACUGGCUCCCUCGAGAGAGACGAAGUGUUUGUCCCCAAGAAGAAGUCAGACAUCAAGUGGUACGGCAAGUACCUCAACAACCCUUUGGGACGCACCGUGAUGUUAACGGUUCAGUUCACUCUCGGCUGGCCGUUGUACUUAGCCUUCAACGUCUCGGGAAGACCUUACGACGGCGGCUUCGCUUGCCAUUUCCACCCCAACGCUCCCAUCUACAACGACCGCGAGCGUCUCCAGAUAUACAUCUCCGACGCUGGCAUCCUCGCCGUCUGCUACGGUCUCUUCCGUUACGCCGCCGCGCAGGGAGUGGCCUCGAUGGUCUGCUUCUACGGAGUCCCGCUUCUGAUUGUCAAUGGUUUCCUCGUGUUGAUCACUUACUUGCAGCACACGCAUCCUUCCCUGCCUCACUACGAUUCGUCCGAGUGGGAUUGGUUGAGGGGAGCUUUGGCUACCGUUGACAGAGACUACGGAAUCUUGAACAAGGUCUUCCACAAUAUUACCGACACGCACGUGGCGCAUCAUCUGUUCUCCACGAUGCCGCAUUAUCACGCGAUGGAAGCUACCAAGGCGAUAAAGCCGAUACUGGGAGAGUAUUAUCAGUUCGAUGGGACGCCGGUGGUUAAGGCGAUGUGGAGGGAGGCGAAGGAGUGUAUCUAUGUGGAACCGGACAGGCAAGGUGAGAAGAAAGGUGUGUUCUGGUACAACAAUAAGUUAUGAGGAUAUGAUGAUGGUGAAAGAACAAAGAAGAUAUUGUCACGAACCUUUCUCUUGCUGUCUCUGGUCGUCUUUGUUUUAAGAAGCUAUGUUUUCGUUUCAAUAAUCUUAACUAUCCAUUUUGUUGUGUUUUCUGACAUUUUGGCUAAGUUAUGUGAUGUGGGACACGUUAGUGUCUAAAAUGUCUCUGUGUCUGUAUUGUUCUUCUCAUCUGUGACUUUCGGACAACUAAACUCUUGUUCUCGAACUACCUCAAUGUGGCAUUAAUGAAAGUGUUAUUGUUGAUUUUAAUCUGAAACUGCUAUUAUUUAGUGAAUUUUUACAUCAGCCAACUUGUUUGUUUAAGACCUACCAAUGGUAUAAGAAGGUUUGUGUACUAAUGUUCACCAUGUCCAUAGUGUUAAGACAUAACCAUGAUCUUCUGUCCAAUUAAUUUGCGUCGAGUUAUCGUGUUAUUUGGCACCUUUACUAUGUUUUUUUGUAAAGAACUCCUUACAGAAUAGCUUUUUGUAAAGAACUACGUUUUAUCUUUUUGUAAGAACCUUUUAACAAAAGCCAAAUUCAUUAUUACCUGGCACAAGAAAAAACUCUGGUUUCUUCCUCUUUCUCUGUUUUUAGAUUUGAGGAGGAACAUGAAGAUGAAGAAAAAGAAACAAAUAAAUAACAAAUCUCUUUUUUUCCAUUAACGGCAGAAACACCAAAACAGAGUGACAACAAGAAACAAAUGUAGUGAGGAAAAACCAAAGAAAAAAGAAUAUUCUGAAACCAACUCGUUGAACAUAUUCAAAUACGAAACAAUCUUUCAUCCAACGGCGAGCGUAAUCUAGAAGCAUUUCCUGUGGACUAUCGAUGGCCCUGCCUCAUCAUACUCAGCCUUUGCUAUCCACAUCUGCAAGACCAACAUUGUGUAUCAUAGUCAGCUUAAAAACGAGUAACAAGCAGAAUCGACAAUUUUACCUGUUGGAAGGUACUGAGUGAUGCUAGAAUAGAUCCUCCAAUCCAAACACUAUACUUCCUCUCCGGUGGAGCAACCACCUUAAUCUUCAUACUACUCGGAGCCAAAGCAGUAAUCUCCUUACUCAUCCUAUCAGCAAUCCCAGGGAACAUCGUGGUACCACCACUAAGCACAAUGUUUCCAUACAAAUCUUUCCUAAUAUCCACAUCACAUUUCAUGAUCGAAUUGUAAGUCGUCUCGUGGAUACCAGCAGCUUCCAUUCCGACCAAAGACGGCUGGAAAAGAACCUCAGGACACCUGAACCUCUCCCCUCCGAUGGUGAUCACCUGUCCAUCAGGCAACUCGUAGCUCUUGUCGACGGAUGAGCUAGUGUUCGCCGUCUCCAUCUCUUGCUCGUAGUCAAGUGCUAUGUAAGCGAGUUUCUCUUUCACGUCUCUCACGAUCUCACGCUCUGCUGUUGUUGUGAACGAGUAGCCACGCUCGGUUAAAAUCUUCAUGAGGUAGUCAGUGAGGUCACGACCUGCGAGAUCAAGACGCAGAAUGGCGUGUGGAAGAGCAUAUCCUUCGUAGAUUGGAACAGUGUGACUCACACCAUCUCCAGAGUCCAAUACAAUACCUGAAACAAUGAUUCCACAUCAAUAAAAGUGUUCUACCUUUUUUUUUAUCAACAAAAGUGUUCUUCUACCUUAUAAACUCUCUAGAUAAUUAUAACAUAAUAAUAAUAAAUAAUUUAUAAUUAUAAUAAUUAAUAUUUUUUAGUAUAAAAUCUUAUGAGAAUAAACAAUAUAAAUAUUAUUAUUUGUAAAUAUUUAAACUCUUAUAUUAUUAUUUUUUUCCAACCACUACACUCUUAUAUUACAUAUAUUGUUAUAAUUGGUAAACAACUAGGUCGAAGAUAGGCAUUGAGUUACCGUCUCAGCGCUAAAAUGUCUACUAAAAUUAUAUUACAUUACAUUGAGAAAGCUAAGAUGAACAUCAUAAACCAAUGGUGUUUGAAGAUCUUACCAGUAGUACGACCACUGGCGUAGAGGGACAAAACAGCUUGGAUAGCGACAUACAUAGCGGGGGUGUUGAACGUUUCAAACAUAAUCUGAGUCAUUUUCUCACGAUUAGCUUUAGGAUUGAGAGGAGCCUCUGUGAGAAGAACGGGAUGCUCUUCAGGUGCAACACGCAGCUCGUUGUAGAAAGUGUGAUGCCAAAUCUUCUCCAUGUCAUCCCAGUUGCUGACAAUACCAUGCUCAAUAGGGUACUUGAGAGUCAAGAUACCUCUCUUUGACUGAGCCUCGUCACCAACGUAAGCAUCUUUUUGCCCCAUACCAACCAUCACACCAGUGUGACGUGGUCUACCAACAAUGCUUGGGAACACAGCUCUUGGUGCAUCGUCUCCCGCGAAUCCAGCCUUUCAUAUAGAGAUUUGGAGGUAAGAAAAUUAAAAGAUUUUCAGACAGCAUUAUAUUAAACAAAGUUGUUACGUUUAUGAUUGAUUACCUUAACCAUUCCUGUUCCAUUGUCACACACUAGUGGCUGAAUGUCCUCUCCAUCUGCCAUUUUCUAAUGAUUCUGAAACUAUAUAUAUAUAUAUAUAUCCCUCACCCUCUCUCCUACUUCGCCUGGCCUCUCUACUGGGCCUGCCAGGGCUGCGUCCUAACCGGCGUCUGGGUCAUAGCCCACGAGUGCGGCCACCACGCCUUCAGCGACUACCAGUGGCUGGACGACACCGUCGGCCUCAUCUUCCACUCCUUCCUCCUCGUCCCUUACUUCUCCUGGAAGUACAGUCAUCGACGCCACCAUUCCAACACUGGCUCCCUCGAGAGAGACGAAGUGUUUGUCCCCAAGAAGAAGUCAGACAUCAAGUGGUACGGCAAGUACCUCAACAACCCUUUGGGACGCACCGUGAUGUUAACGGUUCAGUUCACUCUCGGCUGGCCGUUGUACUUAGCCUUCAACGUCUCGGGAAGACCUUACGACGGCGGCUUCGCUUGCCAUUUCCACCCCAACGCUCCCAUCUACAACGACCGCGAGCGUCUCCAGAUAUACAUCUCCGACGCUGGCAUCCUCGCCGUCUGCUACGGUCUCUUCCGUUACGCCGCCGCGCAGGGAGUGGCCUCGAUGGUCUGCUUCUACGGAGUCCCGCUUCUGAUUGUCAAUGGUUUCCUCGUGUUGAUCACUUACUUGCAGCACACGCAUCCUUCCCUGCCUCACUACGAUUCGUCCGAGUGGGAUUGGUUGAGGGGAGCUUUGGCUACCGUUGACAGAGACUACGGAAUCUUGAACAAGGUCUUCCACAAUAUUACCGACACGCACGUGGCGCAUCAUCUGUUCUCCACGAUGCCGCAUUAUCACGCGAUGGAAGCUACCAAGGCGAUAAAGCCGAUACUGGGAGAGUAUUAUCAGUUCGAUGGGACGCCGGUGGUUAAGGCGAUGUGGAGGGAGGCGAAGGAGUGUAUCUAUGUGGAACCGGACAGGCAAGGUGAGAAGAAAGGUGUGUUCUGGUACAACAAUAAGUUAUGAGGAUAUGAUGAUGGUGAAAGAACAAAGAAGAUAUUGUCACGAACCUUUCUCUUGCUGUCUCUGGUCGUCUUUGUUUUAAGAAGCUAUGUUUUCGUUUCAAUAAUCUUAACUAUCCAUUUUGUUGUGUUUUCUGACAUUUUGGCUAAGUUAUGUGAUGUGGGACACGUUAGUGUCUAAAAUGUCUCUGUGUCUGUAUUGUUCUUCUCAUCUGUGACUUUCGGACAACUAAACUCUUGUUCUCGAACUACCUCAAUGUGGCAUUAAUGAAAGUGUUAUUGUUGAUUUUAAUCUGAAACUGCUAUUAUUUAGUGAAUUUUUACAUCAGCCAACUUGUUUGUUUA